UUCUACGUGAAGCGUCAUUCUGAUUUAACGUUACCAGAGUAAGGAUGAACUUUUGGGUACACACUGUACAAAUGUUUGUUUAAAAAGGUUUCUUUCUACAUCUUAGCUCCUGGCUGAAGGGCACAAGCUCUUACGGUGUUUUUGGAAAUAAACAUCAGUUCCUGAGAGUGAAUUGCAUCUGUUCAGCCGGGAAUGCUACAAUCAGAGCUGAACAAGACUGAUGAAAAAGGAAACCCUGCAUCAAGGAGGAAGGAAGACUGAAAUUGCUUCAAGACUUAAAUGUGUAUGAAUUUCAAACAGGGGGCUCUGGGACAAAGAAUCACAACUGAUAAGGAAACUCUGACGUCUCUGCGAGGACAUAUUAAGGCCACAGGGGUCAUAAGCAGUCUGAGAGGACUGGAAGAGCAAUGGGCAGUGUUGAUACUGAGGCUGUUUCAGAGAGCUGUAUUGUUUGUAACAGCACAGAUGCUAAUCUGGCCACUGAGUAAAUUUAAUGAAAGCAUCCCUCACAACAUCCCGCCUGGAUAAUAAUAUUUAUCCAACAUCACAUGCAAUUGUGCAAUAAGGAAGAGCAUUCCGUUGAGUGCUGAAGUUUGGUACUCUGAUAAAAUGUUAUGUAAAGGGUUUUAUAAAGCAUUUCACAUUAUAAAUUAUAUACUUGAAAUCAUAACAGACUGUUAUGAUUUCAAUAAUAUAAUUUAUAUACAUUUAAUUUAAUGGAGUUAAAACCCUUCAUUACAGCCAUUCUUCUCAAAUCUGUGGACGCGAUUACUUGCAAAUCUUGCAUUAAGAUAUUUAUGGUAAUCAAAUUGUCAUCCAAAGGUAAAAACUAAAUUGAUCUGAAUUUUGGAGGCUAUGUCUAUGGAUGUCAGAAUCAGAGUUUUUAUGUGCAGUAGAGAAGGAAUGCAAGAUCAGUUCUUACAUAACUUAUUUAUUCAUUUAUUUAUUUAUUAAAUCUGCUUAAAAGCUUGUUUAAACAUCUUAAAGAGUUAUGAUGCAAAAAAACGGACUAAAAAUAAUUCUAGUAUUACAUUAUAUGCAGCAGAAUGUUCUGAAAGAUAUUGUGCUUAUAUUCAUAUGCAUUUUAAUUCUUCAGGGAAAAUGAGAUUUUUUAGAAAUAUAAAAUUCUGUUGUUAUUCUGCAUAAAACUUGGUACAUAGAUGUUGCUAUCAGUUUAUUUAGAAAGAAUGUAUUAUAAAUGUAUUAAAUUAAUUUGGCGCCAAUAACUUUAGUGCAUGUUUUCAUAGAUUUUUUAGUAGCACAUUAAGAUCUACAAUAAAACAAGUUUUCUGAAAAUAA